CAAAGGUCCACUCAGUUUCAAGGGGUGGUAACAUGGACCCCACUUCUCAGUGGAGGAACAUCAAUGUCACAUUAUGAGAAGAACACGUGGGACGGACAUGUAUUGUGCUGCUGUCUUUGGAAAAUACAAUCUGUUGGCUUGUGAUCCAUUUUUCUCAGAUGCCCAGACAGCCCUCACCACUGAUAGGCAGGGGCAUGAUCCCGCCUGCCGAGAGGACCUGACGUUGACACUAAACAGGAAUAAAAAGUGCUCAUCUGCUUCUGUGCCAUCAGACGGAGCCCAGUCAGCGAUGACCAGAAAGUUUCCUGCUUUGAAGUAGGCCUUCCCUGGGCUCAAGGAGGAGCUUAAAGACUGAAGAUGAUGAAACCGAGUAACUUGCUAAAGCAACACAGCUAGUAAUAGCAGAACAGAGAAGGCAAUCCAGGCAGUCUGGCUCUGAAGCCCAUGUUCUUAGCAGAGAAAUGAGGGGACAAGACCAGUUCUGGAGGCUAGAAGUCCAACAUUUGCAGUUGGCAAGCUGGAGACCCAGGAGAGCCAAUGGUACAGUUCCAACCUGAGUCUGAAGAUCUAAGAACUGGCAGAGCUGAUGGUAUGAGUUCCAGUUCAUGUUUGAGUCCAGGGGCAGGAGAAGACCAAUCUCCCAGCUUGAAGACAGUCAGGCAGAGGGAAGAAGGAGAAAAUUGAAGGCCAUGGAAUGAAGUCAAUUGCCAAAGUCACACCCCUAGAACAAAUGGAUGCCGUUUUGGCAACAAUUUUAAAUCUCCACUCUCGCAGUAUUGUCUCAGGCUAUCUGGGGAAACUUCACAUCUGAUUUGACUUGGGUUCCAGUUCCUGCCGCCAGCUUGCAGUCUCACUUGUCCACUUCCUCAAUGGUGCUUCCUGGGAUCACCUCUUAAGCAAAUUAUUUGCACUCAAAUCCUCGUCUCAGGAUCUGCUUCUGGGAAACUGACUGUCAUACAGCAAAGCACGGGCAGGGUGUACUUCUGGAAGAGGGAACAGCAUCAGCAAAGGCACAGAGCAAACUGGCUCAGCUGACGUGGUCACCCUUGGAGAAUUCAAAGUUGGGGACAUAGCUGUCCUCUGUACAGAAGUGGAGGAGGAAGGGCUGAGUGUCAGGAAGGCCCACGUGAAUGGAGAUGACAAACUCUCAAUUCGACCAGGCUCUCCAAACGACAGGGCAGGUGAGUUUGAAUGGGGUCUCUGAUCUUACGACGUGAGCAAGGGCCAAGGGUGGCAUGUUCCAGCAAACUUCCUUGUUUGGAAGGACACCGAGACAACAAGCUUUUGCCAGGUGGCUCACACGCCAGGUUUUCCUUUAAGCUAUGUUUUUGAGCUCUGCCUGCAGAAGGCACUUCAAUUGCUCCUCAGUCUCAUAACCCCCCUUUCUCUG
rnacentral:lncRNA from 1 species